rnacentral:rRNA from 1 species
CCUACGGGGCGCAGCAGUGAGGAAUAUUGGUCAAUGGACGAGAGUCUGAACCAGCCAAGUAGCGUGAAGGAUGACUGCCCUAUGGGUUGUAAACUUCUUUUAUAUGGGAAUAAAAUGUUCCACGUGUGGGAUUUUGUAUGUACCAUAUGAAUAAGGAUCGGCUAACUCCGUGCCAGCAGCCGCGGUAAUACGGAGGAUCCGAGCGUUAUCCGGGUUUUUUGGGUUUAAAGGGAGCGUAGGUGGAUUGUUAAGUCAGUUGUGAAAGUUUGCGGCUCAACCGUAAAAUUGCAGUUGAAACUGGCAGUGUUGAGUACAGUAGAGGUAGGCGGAAUUCGUGGUGUAGCGGUGAAAUGCUUAGAUAUCACGAAGAACUCCGAUUGCGAAGGCAGCUCACUGGACUGCAACUGACACUGAGGCUCGAAAGUGUGGGUAUCAAACAGGAUUAGAUACCCCAGUAGUC